UCCCCCCUCUCCAGGGGAGCUGAAGGACCCCAGCCGGGCGAUCCCUCUGGGCACGAUCGUCGCCGUCGCCUACACCUUCUUCGUCUAUGUCCUGCUUUUCUUUCUCUCCAGCUUCACUUGUGACAGGACCCUGCUGCAGGAAGACUAUGGGUUCUUCCGCGCCAUCAGCCUGUGGCCCCCACUGGUGUUGAUCGGAAUCUAUGCCACAGCGCUCUCAGCGUCCAUGAGCUCGCUCAUUGGUGCCUCCCGCAUCCUCCAUGCCCUGGCCCGGGAUGACCUCUUUGGCGUGAUCUUGGCACCGGCCAAGGUUGUGUCCCGAGGGGGAAACCCCUGGGCGGCUGUACUUUAUUCUUGGGGCCUGGUGCAGUGUUUUUUCAGUAUUCACUGGCACUUUGUGGGGUGCCCCAGCACUUUGAGGGAUUCACUGGCACUCUGUGGGAUGUACCAACACUUUGUGGGGGUUCACUGAUACUUUGGAGGUUUGGUGGCACUCUGUGGGAGUGCAUUGGCCCUUUCUGGGGUUCAUUGACACUGGGGGUGCACUUGCACUUUACAGGGCUCACGGGCACUUUUCAGGGUUCAUUGACACUUUGGGGUGCACUGGCACUCUCUGGGGUUCAUUGACACUUUGGGGGUGUGCUGGCACUUUGCAUGGUUCACUGGUACUUUCCAGGGUUCACUGACACUUUGGGGGUACACUGGCACUUUCUGGGAUUCACUGACACUGGAGAUACACUGGCACUUUUGGGGUUUAAUAGCAUUUUAGGGUCUCAUUGACACUUUGGGGGUGCACUGG
rnacentral:sRNA from 1 species